rnacentral:rRNA from 1 species
AUGAAGAUUGGAGGCCAAGGGAAGCUCAACAGGGCUUUCAGAGAGAAGAGGGCUAGGUUCUACAUCUUCCGCCGCUGCGUCGUCAUGUUGCUCCGAUGGAGCGACUGA